AUGAAAGUAGAUUAUAAGGUUGCUCAUCUCCGUGUUACAUCACCGCCACCGGUUACUGGCUCUAUUUCACGUUCGCUCAAGUUAUUUGUUCCCAUAUUUAAUGGUUCGAAUGCUUCUGAUUGGCCUUUUCAAAUUGGAGAAUUUUUCAAUUUCCACGACACACCUGAAGAUUCGCGUCUCCAAAUCGUUUCCUUUCAUUUGGAAGGUCGUGCAACUACUUGGUUUUAG